CUUUAAUGAAAACUUAGGAAUACAUAACGAAAACUCAACCAAAUGAAGAACUUAUAUAGAAAAUAACUAAUUGUUCCAUUUAUAUUUUAGACGUUACAUGCUUUAGUUGAAUCGACUACUAUAGUAACAUUAAUUUAUUUAUUUAAUUUUAUUUUUGAACUAUAU